AGGGUUCGAUUCUGGCUCAGGAUGAACGCUAGCGACAGGCUUAACACAUGCAAGUCGAGGGGCAGCAUAGAAGUAGCAAUACUUCGGUGGCGACCGGCGCACGGGUGAGUAACGCGUAUGCAACCUACCUAUCAGAGGGGAAUAACCCGGCGAAAGUCGGACUAAUACCGCAUAAAACAGGGGCACCGCAUGGUGAUAUUUGUUAAAGAAAUUCGCUGAUAGAUGGGCAUGCGUUCCAUUAGGUAGUUGGUGAGGUAACGGCUCACCAAGCCGACGAUGGAUAGGGGAACUGAGAGGUUGGUCCCCCACACUGGUACUGAGACACGGACCAGACUCCUACGGGAGGCAGCAGUGAGGAAUAUUGGUCAAUGGGCGGGAGCCUGAACCAGCCAAGUCCGCGUGAAGGAAGAAGGAUCUAUGGUUCGUAAACUUCUUUUGCAGGGGAAUAAAGUGCAGGACGUGUCCUGUUUUGUAUGUACCCUGAGAAUAAGGAUCGGCUAACUCCGUGCCAGCCGCCGC
rnacentral:rRNA from 1 species